CGGGUCGGGUCGGGUUAGAAGUGUUGGGUCGGGUCGGGUUAGAAGUAUUGGGUCGGGUCGGGUUAGAAGUGUUGGGUCGGGUCGGGUCGGAAGUACUGGGUCGGGUCGGGUUAGAAGUAUUGGGUCGGGUCGGGUCGGGUUAGAAGUGUUGGGUCGGGUCGGGUUAGAAGUACUGGGUCGGGUCGGGUCGGGUUAGAAGUGUUGGGUCGGGUCGGGUUAGAAGUAUUGGGUCGGGUCGGGUUAGAAGUACUGGGUCGGGUCGGGUCGGGUUAGAAGUAUUGGGUCGGGUCGGAAGUACUGGGUCGGGUCGGGUUAGAAGUAUUGGGUCGGGUCGCUCCUGUCACACAUCUGGACGUGGACGUGUGAAGUGAUUCCUGCGUAAACUCUUUGCAUCGGCAGCAUCGUACCGAUCCGUUCACCUUUCCUCACCGAGCCGGAGGUCCGGUCCGGUUCCACGUAGAACAGCUUGAAA